GACGGACGCUGGCGGCGUGCUUAACACAUGCAAGUCGAACGGAAAGGCCCUGCUUUUGUGGGGUGCUCGAGUGGCGAACGGGUGAGUAACACGUGAGUAACCUGCCCUUGACUUUGGGAUAACUUCAGGAAACUGGGGCUAAUACCGGAUAGGAGCUCCUGCUGCAUGGUGGGGGUUGGAAAGUUUCGGCGGUUGGGGAUGGACUCGCGGCUUAUCAGCUUGUUGGUGGGGUAGUGGCUUACCAAGGCUUUGACGGGUAGCCGGCCUGGGAGGGUGACCGGCCACAUUGGGACUGAGAUACGGCCCAGACUCCUACGGGAGGCAGCAGUGGGGAAUAUUGCACAAUGGGCGGAAGCCUGAUGCAGCAACGCCGCGUGCGGGAUGACGGCCUUCGGGUUGUAAACCGCUUUCGCCUGUGACGAAGCGUGAGUGACGGUAAUGGGUAAAGAAGCACCGGCUAACUACGUG
rnacentral:rRNA from 1 species